rnacentral:rRNA from 1 species
CCUACGGGAGGCUGCAGUGGGGAAUAUUGCACAAUGGGGGAAACCCUGAUGCAGCGACGCCGCGUGAGCGAUGAAGUAUUUCGGUAUGUAAAGCUCUAUCAGCAGGGAAGAAAAUGACGGUACCUGACUAAGAAGCCCCGGCUAACUACGGGCCAGCAGCCGCGGUAAUACGUAGGGGGCAAGCGUUAUCCGGAUUUACUGGGUGUAAAGGGAGCGUAGACGGCAGCGCAAGUCUGGAGUGAAAUGCCGGGGCCCAACCCCGGAACUGCUUUGGAAACUGUGCAGCUGGAGUGCAGGAGAGGUAAGCGGAAUUCCUAGUGUAGCGGUGAAAUGCGUAGAUAUUAGGAGGAACACCAGUGGCGAAGGCGGCUUACUGGACUGUAACUGACGUUGAGGCUCGAAAGCGUGGGGAGCAAACAGGAUUAGAUACCCCUGUAGUC